CCCUUAGAUGUUCUGGGCCGCACACGCGCUACAAUGGCACAGUCAACGAGCUUAUCCUAUGCUGACAAGCACAGGUAAUCUUUUCAGUCUUUGUCGUGAUGGGGAUAGACCCUUGUAAUUAUUGGUCUCCAACGAGGAAUUCCUAGUAAACGCAAGUCAUCAACUUGCAUUGAUUACGUCCCUGCCCUUUGUACACACCGCCCGUCGCACCUACCGAUUGAAUGGUCCGGUGAAGUCUUCGGACCGAUGCUGACUCGUUGGCAACGGAAAGUUGAGUAAACCUUACCAUUUAGAGGAAGGUGAAGUCGUAACA
rnacentral:rRNA from 1 species